rnacentral:rRNA from 1 species
UCCAGACUCCUACGGGAGGCAGCAGUGGGGAAUAUUGCACAAUGGGGGAAACCCUGAUGCAGCGACGCCACGUGAGUGAGGAAGUAUUUCGGUAUGUAAAGCUCUCUCAGCAGGGAAGAAGAUGACGGUACCUGACUAAGAAGCCCCGGCUAACUACGUGCCAGCAGCCGCGGUAAUACGUAGGGGGCAAGCGUUAUCCGGAUUUACUGGGUGUAAAGGGAGCGUAGACGGAAUAGCAAGUCUGAUGUGAAAACCCGGGGCUCAACUCCGGGAGUGCAUUGGAAACUGUUGAUCUAGAGUGCCGGAGAGGCAAGCGGAAUUCCUAGUGUAGCGGUGAAAUGCGUAGAUAUUAGGAGGAACACCAGUGGCGAAGGCGGCUUGCUGGACGAUGACUGACGUUGAGGCUCGAAAGCGUGGGGAGCAAACAGGAUUAGAUACCCGUGUAGU